AUUGAGAUAUUCGGCAUACUAUUUUAUACGAAUUAUUCUUUUAGAUGUUUGGAACAUCUACUUUAGGCUCUGACUUUGUUUUUUGUGUGUAAAUCAAAAACAGUAGUAACAAAAACAUGAUAUUAUUUUAUUGUAUAAAAGAAUGACAUUUCAUUCCAAAUAGAUAUAGUUAGCAAUAAUCUUCACAAACUUUAAAUAAUAAUUUAUUUACAGUGCCUAACUUAAAUAAGAAAACUAGCCUUCAAUACAAUUAACGUUUUUAAUAGAUUGGUGUUCAGAUCCAGAUGGAGUAGUGCGAUCGUCUUGACUAGCUGAAGCUCCUUCAAGCGGAGGGCCGUUGGAACCGAAUGGCAUGCCCUCAGUGCUGUAUGCCACAUCGCCUGUUCCCACAUAUUCAGAUGGCUGGGGGUAGAGCGGCGCUGGUGCUGCAGCGGGUGCGGAGGAGCUCGUGGGCGGCGUGGGCGCGUACUCGAUGGGCGCGGGGUACGCGUGCGGCGGCGUGCGGUACGGAGCUGGGGACGCGUUCGGCUGAG